GCCGGGGUGGUGGAAUUGGUAGACACGCUAUCUUGAGGUGGUAGUGGCCGAAAGGCCGUGGGAGUUCGAGUCUCCCCUUCGGCACCA
rnacentral:tRNA from 1 species